rnacentral:rRNA from 1 species
UGGAGAGUUUGAUCCUGGCUCAGGACGAACGCUGGCGGCGUGCUUAACACAUGCAAGUCGAACGGAAAGGCCUCUUCGGAGGUACUCGAGUGGCGAACGGGUGAGUAACACGUGGGCAAUCUGCCCUGCACUUCGGGAUAAGCCUGGGAAACUGGGUCUAAUACCGAAUAGGACCUUUAGACGCAUGUCUUUUGGUGGAAAGCUUUUGCGGUGUGGGAUGGGCCCGCGGCCUAUCAGCUUGUUGGUGGGGUGAUGGCCUACCAAGGCGACGACGGGUAGCCGGCCUGAGAGGGUGUCCGGCCACACUGGGACUGAGAUACGGCCCAGACUCCUACGGGAGGCAGCAGUGGGGAAUAUUGCACAAUGGGCGCAAGCCUGAUGCAGCGACGCCGCGUGGGGGAUGACGGCCUUCGGGUUGUAAACCUCUUUCACCAUCGACGAAGGUCCGGGUUUUCUCGGAUUGACGGUAGGUGGAGAAGAAGCACCGGCCAACUACGUGCCAGCAGCCGCGGUA